AGUUGAGUCUGGUAGAAGCCAGUGACCCAGCUCAACAGAACAUGAUGGUUGUGCAGAUGGAGACACAUUCACAAACUGAAGUGCUUUCAAUUUCCGAUUCAAGUUUAUGUCUCUCUGCCCUAGACAACUCCUAUGCCAACAAUUGAACCAUCACCCGCAAAGUCUCCGAGAGAGAGAAUUAGUGAAGAAAGAACAAAAAGCAUUCCACAACCCCCGAAACCUGAUG